CACGGUUCCCAGAAUUCCCAGCAUCUACACAUCAUAGAGUAGUGAUUACUCUAUGAUGUGUAGAUGCUGGGAAUUAUGGGAACCGU
rnacentral:miRNA from 1 species